rnacentral:rRNA from 1 species
CCCUUAGAUGUUCUGGGCUGCACGCGCGCUACACUGAAGCUAUCAACACGUUUUCCCUCCCUGAGAAGGGCGGGUAACCUUUUGAAUCAGCUUCGUGGUAGGGAUCGGGGCUUGCAAUUGUUCCCCGUGAACCAGGAAUUCCUAGUAGACGCGAGUCAUAAGCUCGCAUCGAUUAAGUCCCUGCCCUUUGUACACACCGCCCGUCGCUACUACCGAUUGAACGUUUUAGUGAGGCAUUUGGACCGACGCAUCUCAGUUUAACCGCUGGUUUGUGUUGGAAAGACUUCCAAACUCGAGCGUUUAGAGGAAGUAAAAGUCGUAACA